GAUGAACGCUGGCCGAAUGCUUAACACAUGCAAGUCGAACUGUGGCGGACGGGUGAGUAACGCGUACAGAACUUGCCUCACAGGUAGGGACAAAAUAUGGAAACGAAAGCUAAUACCUAAUCCUGUGGGAGAGCUUGGCGUCCCAUUAGCUAGUGGGGGAGGUAACGGGUCAGCAAGGCGAGGAUGGGUAGCCGGCCUGGGAGGGUGAUCGGCCACAAGUGGACGGGGACACGGCCCUUAGUCGUACGGGAGGCAGCAGGGGAAAAUAUUGAACACGGGACCAGAGUCUGAUGCAGCAAUUCUGUGUGCACGAUGAAUUUUUCGGAAUGUAAAGUGCUUUCAGUUGCGAAGCGGUACCAACAGAAGAAGUGACGGCUAAAUACGUGCCAGCCGCCGCGGUAAUAC
rnacentral:rRNA from 1 species